rnacentral:rRNA from 1 species
GACGAACGCUGUCGGCGUGCUUAACACAUGCAAGUCGAACGGAAAGGCCCUGCUUUUGUGGGGUGCUCGAGUGGCGAACGGGUGAGUAACACGUGAGUAACCUGCCCUUGACUUUGGGAUAACUUCAGGAAACUGGGGCUAAUACCGGAUAGGAGCUCCUGCUGCAUGGUGGGGGUUGGAAAGUUUCGGCGGUUGGGGGUGGACUCGCGGCUUAUCAGCUUGUUGGUGGGGUAGUGGCUUACCAAGGCUUUGACGGGUAGCCGGCCUGAGAGGGUGACCGGCCACAUUGGGACUGAGAUACGGCCCAGACUCCUACGGGAGGCAGCAGUGGGGAAUAUUGCACAAUGGGCGGAAGCCUGAUGCAGCAACGCCGCGUGCGGGAUGACGGCCUUCGGGUUGUAAACCGCUUUCGCCUGUGACGAAGCGUGAGUGACGGUAAUGGGUAAAGAAGCACCGGCUAACUACGUGCCAGCAGCCGCGGUGAUACGUAGGGUGCGAGCGUUGUCCGGAUUUAUUGGGCGUAAAGGGCUCGUAGGUGGUUGAUCGCGUCGGAAGUGUAAUCUUGGGGCUUAACCCUGAGCGUGCUUCCGAUACGGGUUGACUUGAGGAAGGUAGGGGAGAAUGGAAUUCCUGGUGGAGCGGUGGAAUGCGCAGAUAUCAGGAGGAACACCAGUGGCGAAGGCGGUUCUCUGGGCCUUCCUGACGCUGAGGAGCGAAAGCGUGGGGAGCGAACAGGCUUAGAUACCCUGGUAGUCCACGCUGUAAACGGUGGGUACUAGGUGUGGGGUCCAUUCCACGGGUUCCGUGCCGUAGCUAACGCUUUAAGUACCCCGCCUGGGGAGUACGGCCGCAAGGCUAAAACUCAAAGGAAUUGACGGGGCCCCGCACAAGCGGCGGAGCAUGCGGAUUAAUUCGAUGCAACGCGUAGAACCUUACCUGGGUUUGACAUGGAUCGGGAGUGCUCAGAGAUGGGUGUGCCUCUUUUGGGGUCGGUUCACAGGUGGUGCAUGGCUGUCGUCAGCUCGUGUCGUGAGAUGUUGGGUUAAGUCCCGCAACGAGCGCAACCCUUGUUCACUGUUGCCAGCACGUUAUGGUGGGGACUCAGUGGAGACCGCCGGGGUCAACUCGGAGGAAGGUGGGGAUGACGUCAAGUCAUCAUGCCCCUUAUGUCCAGGGCUUCACGCAUGCUACAAUGGCUGGUACAGAGAGUGGCGAGCCUGUGAGGGUGAGCGAAUCUCGGAAAGCCGGUCUCAGUUCGGAUUGGGGUCUGCAACUCGACCUCAUGAAGUCGGAGUCGCUAGUAAUCGCAGAUCAGCAACGCUGCGGUGAAUACGUUCCCGGGGCU